GGGGCCGGGCGGCCCGUCGACGCCUCCGUUUGGAGGUGAGGAAACUCCGCGCACCCCGUGGCAGUGCGGCCCCGUAAGGGGCACGGGUAGUCCCCGUGGCAACGGCACAGAAACGGUACGGCCGUGGCUGGAUGGCCGUGAUGCGGGCGGGCCCCCGGUGACGGGGGUUUAAACCGUUGAGGACGGCUACGGACGCGUUGAAACGGCCGCCCCGCACGGUGCAAGGCCUGGUUCCGGUGUGAGGGCCACGCGACCGGUGUAGGCCGCUUAGACGAAUGCGGGCUUAACAGAACGCGGGUUACGGCCCGGCCCU
rfam:Thermosphaera aggregans DSM 11486, complete genome.